UACGUAGGGUGCGAGCGUUGUCCGGAAUUAUUGGGCGUAAAGAGCUUGUAGGCGGUUUGUCGCGUCUGCCGUGAAAUUUCGGGGCUCAACCCCGAACUUGCGGUUGAUACGGGCGGGCUGGAGUUCGGUAGGGGAGACUGGAAUUCCUGGUGUAGCGGUGAAAUGCGCAGAUAUCAGGAGGAACACCGGUGGCGAAGGCGGGUCUCUGGGCCGAUACUGACGCUGAGGAGCGAAAGCGUGGGGAGCGAACAGG
rnacentral:rRNA from 1 species